rnacentral:tRNA from 1 species
GGUGGCGGCCGGCGCGGGACGGAUGGCCGAUCGCUGGUCGGCCGCCGGGUCCGGUACGGCCGCCGCUCUCCGGUUCGACCCCGCUCCGCUGCUG